rnacentral:lncRNA from 10 species
GAGACGCUUGAGAUGUGGCUGAUGCCCCAAGGGUCGCUGAAGCUGUUGGGGCGCAGUGACCAGGCCAGCCGGCUCCAGAGUCUGGAGGUGGGACAGGUCCCCCACUUGCUUUCUCCCAACCCCCACCCAGACUUGGGGUAGUGGGAAGAGAGGGACAGACACCAAGGGAGGGGUAAGGUUAUUUUUCCCAGUCAUGGCAGCCAUGGUGAUGCCCCCAUGCAGACAUCCUGUGUCACCCCCCAGCCUGUGCACACUGAGGAGCACCUCCUGGUUGGGGUAUGCAGAGGACAUGCAGGGAGCAGGGAGGGAAUUAUCAGUUCCACUACAACACAAGCCCAAUCUUCCAGACUACAGAGAUUUCGCCUAGAGGGGCAGGGACAUUCGAGUUGGGCCAUGAAACUACACUUCUGAGUGGCUCCUCAUAGUCUUUUUUUUUUUUUUUUUGAGACAGUCUCACUCUGUCGCAGUGGCACAAUCUCGGCUCACUGCAACCUCUGCCUCCCAGGUUCAAGCGAUUCUCCUACCUCAGCCUCCCGCGUAGCUGGGACUACAGGCGCGCGCCACCACGCCCAGCUAAUUUUUUUUUUUGUAUUUUUAAUAGAGACGGGGUUUCACCAUGUUGACCAGGAUGAUCUCGAUCUCCUGACCUUGUGAUCCACCCGCCUCGGCCUCCCAGAGUGCUGGGAAUACAAGCGCAAGCCACCGCGCCUGGCCCCUCCUCAUAGUCUCUUUCUCAGAGGCUUUGGCUUCAUGUGGGAAUGGUCUCUGGGCAGGACUUUGAACCUCAUCCCUGCCGUAUUGUCCCCAAUAAGGGGGACUGACCUCCACUGCCUAGCAGUCAGAAUGGAAGCCUAGAACGAAUCUCAGAGCUGGGAGAGAUAUUAAAGGUCUCCUAGUCUGA